rnacentral:lncRNA from 1 species
UUGGUUAAGAUCCAACGGUCGGAUCGUUAAUUCAUAUAAGGAUCAAGUGGUGGUCUUUAUCAAAACUAUGUUCAAACGAUGAGAUUUCAUCAAUUGGACUUCACCUCGGCCCACGCGCUACUACACACAACGGUCAGCAGCCUCGGCUUACCGAAAAAUUUAACUAUUUCAAAAAUUACCAAAUUUUAUAAGCAUGUAGAGCAAGUCAAGGGGGACAAUUUUCAUACAUGGGCCAAGGUCUAAUUUGGCCAGGAAACACCUGAAUUUUGCAUCGAUCUGUUGGAAACCCUAGAAAUGGGUGUCCCUUGAUUCGUCCUCAAUCUUGUUUGGGCCUUGUU